rnacentral:rRNA from 1 species
UACGGGGGGAGCAAGCGUUGUUCGGAUUUACUGGGCGUAAAGGGCGCGUAGGCGGUCAGCACAAGUCAGUUGUGAAAUCUCCGGGCUUAACUCGGAAAGGUCAACUGAUACUGUGCGACUAGAGUGCAGAAGGGGCAACUGGAAUUCUCGGUGUAGCGGUGAAAUGCGUAGAUAUCGAGAGGAACACCUGCGGCGAAGGCGGGUUGCUGGGCUGACACUGACGCUGAGGCGCGAAGGCGUGGGGAGCGAACAGG